UACGGAGGGUGCAAGCGUUAAUCGGAAUUACUGGGCGUAAAGCGCGCGUAGGCGGCUUGGUAAGUCGAUUGUGAAAUCCCCGGGCUCAACCUGGGAAUUGCAGUCGAGACUGCUUGGCUAGAGUGUGGGAGAGGGUGGUGGAAUUCCCGGUGUAGCGGUGAAAUGCGUAGAUAUCGGAAGGAACACCAGUGGCGAAAGCGGCUUCCUGGUCCAGCACCGACGUUCAGGCACGAAAGCGUGGGGAGCAAACAGG
rnacentral:rRNA from 1 species